GGAGACGUAGCUCACUUGGUAAAGUGCUUGCCUGGCAUGCACAGGGUCCUGGGUUCAAUCCCCAGCACCACCC
rnacentral:tRNA from 1 species